AAUUGUAUUCAUUAUAUCAGUACCUACAACAAGACGUUCCUACCUUGGUGUUGUGUUUUAUUUUAAUAAUUCAAGAAUGUAAUGUACGUAUCCGAGUGUAUAUUAGGUACGUAUUAUCGAGAAUUACUAUAGGAAGACUCCCGGCAAAGUCAGGUAACUGGUAAGUCAAAAUUGCGAAAUUUUUAUCUCCUAUUCCGAUAGCUCGAACGGUCACUUCUGAAUAAAGUGAUAAGUACCUACAUGACUUAUAGUACAUAUGUACCAAGUAGCUGAUUACUAGUGGGUAUUUCUUCAUUCAUGGAAACUAUUACUCAUAAAAUAAUUUGUAGAACAGAAUAUUUACGAAUGUGUUGCAAUAUGUUGUUUGAUCUUGUUGUCGUUGUGAUAUCUGUAUCAAAUUAUUAGUGGCAUCAAAUCAUCAGGAGCAACAUCAAUCCCAAAGCACGACAAGGUGAAAAUUUUACGACAAAUGACAUGAGGUAUCUCACAGAAGAAUAUUCCGUUGAAGAAAUUCUGACCAUACCAUUACUGAUCUGCUUAAUCAUCCAUUUUUAUAAACCUUUCCGAAGUGGUAAGAUAUCAGUGCAAAGCUUGGAAAAAGAAAAUCUCACUUUUUACUUUUUCUGUUAUUGUACCCCAUUUAUUGCAUUUUGGAUGCUAUCAAUUUAUGGCCGAAAAUGCUGCCUAACGUAGGUUGCUUUCGAAUAACAUUAAAGUUUAAAAAUGUGUUCAUUAUAGAGUGAGUGUGCAUAAUUUUAUUUUUGUAUUCAAAAUAAUCAUUAAAAUUUUGAUAAUUUUA